AACCCUGAAAGCCUCCCUUCUCCUGACCUUUGGCAGCACCUAUAGACAUCGAUUUCACACGACCAGAGCAACAGAGCCUGCCUCCCCGGCCCUGCCGGAUCCCGGGAGCAGCUCACAGCCGAAAACGCAGAGAGCAAAGUGGAAGGAACAAAGCCCUGACGUCAAUUAGCGGAAAAGGAUUAAACUCAACAGCUAAGAGAAGGGAACGCGCUGCCCCUGCUACCCACAGCAGCAUCAGGAACCAUCCCCAAUACGUGUUUUAGGCGGUGCCAGCUCGGUUCUGCUCUCCGAAGAGAGGGAAGCCGGGACACCUCGGUGCGGGCCGGGCGCAGGCGGCAGACGCACGCACACCCAUCCGCGCAGCGGCGGCCAACUCGGUUACUCCAGAAGUGCGUGCGCGGGGGAAACACUGCGGCCUGGUCUUGGCUUUCCACACCGGGAGGUUUGACACGAAACGGGCAACCAAACCCGGCCAGAGCCGAAGCCUGGAGGGGGGAUGGAGCGAGUGCAGCUGCGUUGGUGACGGAAGGCCGUGCAGUGACGAGGAGAUGGCGGCGUGCCCCGAACGCCGUGGGGAGCUCUCCAGGUGCGUGAGUGGAUGCGUCAAUCUUUCAAGCUAAGCAUUCAGCUUGUCUCAGCCCCAUGUUAACGAGUGCCAAUUUACAACCCUUCAGCUGGGAGUCUCCCUUUUACAAGACAGCACACACUUUUUUCCAGUCUGCCAGUGAAAUCUCUCAGCAACCUCGUAAGAACUUGUAACGCUACUACAAGAACGGCAUCAAGGUGGAAAGACACGUCAUUUCCAUUACUCACCCUUUCCCAAGCCCUGCAGGGGCUUUGCUAGAAAGGCUUCCUGGCCUGGAUGCUGAGAGGUACCACAUCUUCUGUUCAAAACCUGGACAAAGCAUUAGCUUAUUUAACAAACCACUCAGAGACUGGAUCCAAAGCAUGGAUUACUGCCUCCUACCCACCACCCCUAAAGAUCUGUGCCUCCAUAUACAGCAGUGACUAAAGCCCUCAACGAUGCAUUGUGAGAAGUUAAGUCAAUACUUUAAAUAUAUUAAGCUUCCUGAUUCUUGAGAUAUUUGCAUGUUUAGACUUUGGAUAAAUUCACAGUAGUAUCUUGCUUCACUGCCCUACAACCAUAUCAAAUAUAGCUUUCUUUUGAUGUCACAUGCUGCUAGUGAAAAAAAGCCAGUUUAUUUUUAGGAACGGCCUUUCAGAACCAAACCAUAAGAGGUGCCAAUUUCCUCAGCUUUUAGGAUAAAAAUCCCAUUUCAGUCAUACAAGAUAAUUAUGAGAUCUCAGUAUUAGUCUGUACCUUUUCUCUCUACCUUUCAGUCAUCAGCUUGCCAGCGCUCUCUAACCCUUGCUCUGCUUAGAUUCAUUUCAGAUCUGCACAGGUUUUCACUUUUUUAAAAAAUGAGACCUCUCAUGUGUAAGCUGUCUCAUUGAUUAAAUAUUUAUCUAGAUACAUUGCAUUAUUGGAACCACAAGAGAAAAAUAAACCUUCCUUUUCUGAUCUGAUUAAUCAAUAUUUCUAAUACAUUUUAAUGGAUUAUUUGACACUUGAAAAUGAAUUCAGGUAAGCCAGGAUAAAUAUAGUGAUCAAUAUUUCCAAAUAAUUCCAAGCACAGUCUCAACACAGUGCACAGUAGGCUACGACAUGCAGAAACAGAAUUCAAUUUUUGUGAAUACCAAAUCAGAAUAGUUCCCUGUGUAAGACAGGCCCUAAGAUCCUCUUUAAAAAAAGAAACAAACCAACUCCACCUAAAUAAAAGACCUUGCCUGCACCAGAAAAGAAGCCCUGAUUACAGCAUAGUAUAUGGGGCAGAACUUCUCUUGAACUCCUCAUUCUUUUGUGCAACUUAUUACUGUUUGCCAAUUCAUUUUUUCAUCUCAGAGGAGCAUUUUGGUGGCCAUUUUUGACAUGCAUUAUGUAAUAACCCCAUGAUCACCUAAAAAAGCAGGACAGAGCACAGACAUGCAGAAUUCAGAUUCAUGCAACCUCAUCGUAGGCAAGUGCAAGUCCCUUCACAGAGGGUCCCACACUGACAAUCCCAUUACACCAGCAAUAUGUUUUCUAAACACAAAGUGGCACCAAGGCUCAAAAUCUGACCCCAGCAAGGGCUUUGGAAAUUGGUCUUUUGUUAAAAGCAAUCUGCAAAACAGGCUAUUUUUGAAAGAUCUACAACUACACUUAAAGCUUUGAAUUUAAGCAAGGCUACUUGUUACACAUAACUGGUUUUGAAAUGUACUGGAACAGAGUUGCACUUUGGGUUCUUUUCAAAAAAAGCCACCCUACCAAUUAGUACUUCUGUAUUUUGAAAUAUGGGAAAAGUGCUGCAGAAUGGCCCAACAAACGGUUUUUGUGCAUACAGUUUAAACUUCAGAAUCUAAAUCUUCUUUUAAAAUUAUGGUCUCUAAUACUGUGAUUUCAAUUACCCUUCAAAAAAAAAAAGUUGUACAAAGCUAAAAUAAUUAAGUGUAGAGCCAGUCUGAAAUAAAUCAUAACUCUAUUUUAACUGGUGGUUAAAUCUGAAGCUUAAUAUGACACUGAAAUAUUAUCAGUGCUGUUAUGAAAUAUUAUCAAAUAGGGAUGGAAUCCUUUCCUGUCUGAAAAUUAAAUGCAGCUAUACCUUUGCUAUGUAGAUUUCUUUGUAAAAAAUUAAUCUCACUUCCCUACUUGAUAUCAGUGGGUAGGGAGCAGAAAGCUUAUUUGAGAAAGUACUACUGUACCACAGAGGAACAGAAAAUUAAAAAAAAAAGAAAAAUAACUGUUCCUAACAGAUUUCUAUAAUGUUUUUAAAAAGGUGUUCUGUCAGUGACAUUUUUGAUAUAUCACUUUUCAAUAGUCAAACUUAUAUUCUGUAUUGUGUUUUGUAUUAUCACACACACAUAUCUCAAUUAACAAAAUUAGGCUGUGAAGAUCUGCAUCAGACAAUUGAUAUUCUCAGCGUCUGGUUAAAGGCAUAUAUUACAUAUAAACAUAAUUUCACAAACCAAAUUAAAUCCCUAAGGACAAGGUAUGUUGAAUCAUUUCUUUAUAAAGCAAAUCCAUUUGAUAGCAAAAUUUCUAUUUAUUAAGGACUCCUUCCUAAAAAAAUAAAAUCUAAGUGACUGUAACAUGAUUUCAUUUAGGGCACCCAAAAAAACUGUUUUCUGGCUCUGACAGAUGAUCAAUUUAAUAAAGGCCUAGACUAGAAUAUCAGGUUGUCUCUACCUUCUCUUGCUCUGCCAUCAGUUAGUAAUGUUUCUCCUUGAAAUGCGAUGCCUUUUCCUGAGGCUGUUUUUCUACUAGACUGCAUCAAUUGCUUCACUUCAAUUAGCAAUGGCAGUUUUACUUACGGGGAAGGAUUAAACUGAGCCUGUUUAGAGCCACACAAAUCUCAUGUAACUGCUUGGUAAAUGUAACAAUUUCUAGUUAGUGCUUUUUUUAAGUUAGUGAUAUUUUGUACUUAAGAGCUUUGGAAGACAACAAUUAAAGAAAUACCUUUCCUGUUGAAAAAAACUGGCAUUGAAGCAUCUUGCUAUAAGAAAUCCAGAUGUGAUCUACUGAAAGAUGAACUGGUAAGGCUUGCCAGGCUGGUGGUUUUUUUCUCUGUAAAAUAAGAAUGUGCAGAGACAAGUGAAACAGAAAGGGGAAUUCAAAUUCAAUGAAGUUAUUGUAUUUGAAAAUAAACCUUUUUUUGAAAAUAAACCUUUUU